UUAGGAAAAGAAGUUAAAAAAGCAUAUAUGAGUUUGUGAUAUGGUAACAAGUUCAACCUUUUUGCGGUGGUAGAUCUGUGGUAGCGGCAACGCAUUUCCGACGGCGGCUGUGGUGGUUUUGAGUUUUGGGAAAUCAACAUUUACUUUUAGGCAUUUGGCCUUCAAUGGUGAAGGUGAUGAUUAUUGAUGAAAUGAUUGUUGUGUUUUAUCGACUGAAAUGACGAUGAUGUUUACAUUCCUUCAGUCAGCAUUUGAGGUUCAGAGUACAAAAUCUACAUGAGUCUUGCUGGAUGACUUACAUGUUUCCGAAGAUCUUACUGCUGUUUCCGAAGUACUUGAAGUUUAUGUGGAGAAGGUAGUGCAGAACAGUCAGAAGAUUACAUUCCCUGGCGAAGCUAAUGAAGCAGUACGUUGAAAAUUUUAGUGAUAUUUGCAUUGCAGCUUCACAAAUUAUAUAGAGUUUUCACUUAUUGAGUUUUCAUGUUGUUUGCAGCCAAACACAAUUACUGGGGAUAUCUUAGAAACCACUUGAAAUAAAAUCUCUAUAAUUCAAUCUCAAUUUGUUUGCAUAUACAUUUAUAAGUCAACACCUUCACUAAACAACUAUUUUUUUUGCGGUUAUAACGGUGUUAUGUCGUAGUGGAAAUUGUAUAAAAUGUUAUUUUUUGCGAUCUACUAUCGCUACAUUUUUUUAAUGACGGUAUGACGCAUAUUCCGUUGGUGUCUCGUGUUAGUGAUUUGUUUAUGUUUGACGUCGAUGCUUUGUUUAUAUAUGUUCUGCAGUCUAAUACAACUUUGUGUUGUAAAGUAUGUUAGGCAAACAAAUGGGAGAAUGUGGGUUGUGCUUUACUCUCAUAACAGACACCAUUUAAUUUUCUAUAUUUGAUUGAUCCAGGCUGUUAUGUCAUAAGUUUUAAUAUUUUUUACAUGGCUUAAAUCAGUUGAUUCACUAUUUAAUGGAUUUGGUCUUGUGCUUUUAGCUCACUACAGGCGCAUUUUUCCAUUAUUUU